rnacentral:rRNA from 1 species
AUUGAACGCUGGCGGCAUGCCUUACACAUGCAAGUCGAACGGUAACGCGGGGCAACCUGGCGACGAGUGGCGAACGGGUGAGUAAUGUAUCGGAACGUGCCCAGUUGUGGGGGAUAACUGCUCGAAAGAGCAGCUAAUACCGCAUACGACCUGAGGGUGAAAGCGGGGGAUCGCAAGACCUCGCGCAAUUGGAGCGGCCGAUAUCAGAUUAGGUAGUUGGUGGGGUAAAGGCCCACCAAGCCAACGAUCUGUAGCUGGUCUGAGAGGACGACCAGCCACACUGGGACUGCGACACGGCCAGGACUCCUACGGGAGGCAGCAGUGGGGAAUUUUGGACAAUGGGCGCAAGCCUGAUCCAGCCAUGCCGCGUGCGGGAAGAAGGCCUUCGGGUUGUAAACCGCUUUUGUCAGGGAAGAAACGCUCUGGGCUAAUACCCUGGGGUAAUGACGGUACCUGAAGAAUAAGCACCGGCUAACUACGUGCCAGCAGCCGCCGUAAGAC